GUUGUAUGGUUAAGUGACUAAGCGUACAUGGUGGAUGCCUUGGCAGUCAGAGGCGAUGAAGGACGUACUAACCUGCGAUAAGCUGUGAGAAGUCGGUAAGAGACGCUAUUACUCACAGAUUUCCGAAUGGGGAAACCCACCCGAGAUAACUCGGGUAUCUGUUACUGAAUACAUAGGUAACAGAGG
rnacentral:rRNA from 1 species